GUGCCCUUAGUUUAAUGGUAGAAUGUUGCUCUCCAAAAGCAAAGGUAGUAGUUCGAUUCUAUUAGGGUAUGCUACA
rnacentral:tRNA from 1 species